GACGUAGGGCGCGAGCGUUGUCCGGAUUUAUUGGGCGUAAAGAGCUCGUAGGCGGCUUGUCGCGUCGAAUGUGAAAACUCGGGGCUCAACCCCGCGCUUGCAUUCGAUACGGGCAGGCUCGAGUUCGGUAGGGGAGACUGGAAUUCCUGGUGUAGCGGUGAAAUGCGCAGAUAUCAGGAGGAACACCGGUGGCGAAGGCGGGUCUCUGGGCCUGCACUGACGCUCAUGCACGAAAGCGUGGGGAGCAAACAGG
rnacentral:rRNA from 1 species